UACGGAGGAGGCAAGCGUUAUCCGGAAUUAUUGGGCGUAAAGCGUCCGCAGGUGGCACCUCAAGUCUGCUGUCAAAGACCGGGGCUUAACCCCAGAAAGGCAGUGGAAACUGAAGUGCUAGAGUGCAGUAGGGGUAGAGGGAAUUCCCGGUGUAGCGGUGAAAUGCGUAGAGAUCGGGAAGAACAUCGGUGGCGAAAGCGCUCUGCUGGGCCGACACUGACACUGAGAGACGAAAGCUAGGGGAGCGAAUGGG
rnacentral:rRNA from 1 species